AUGCUUGAAGAAUAUAGCACCAUGGUGUGCGGACAGGAGAUCUCCAUCCGCCCCAUCCACGGUGUGGGUGCCUCGGCCCUGGCAAAGCUUGCGAGUCUCAUCGUAUCACUGUUGUGCCUCAUCCUGACAGUCAAGGUUGCCUUGGAGCUCACCAGCCUGUACCUAUGGCGCCUCGCGCUCGCCAGGAGCCGCGCCGAGGCCUUCCGUCUGCUCUCCGCCCGCCCCUUUGAACCCCCCGUCCUUGCUCAACUGGCGCUCCGGGCUGAACGCGUGUUUCACGCAAAGUACGGGGGACGUCGGAGCCGCUGCCAGGUCGCCGUGCUGCGCCUCCUUCAGUUUUCCGUGGCGGUAACAAUGGUUGACAUGGUUCUGGCCUGUACAUCUGCAUUUAUCCCUUUCACACUUGGAAGGAUAAUCCUAUUGCGCACAGGUGAAUUCGACUCCUUUGCUGCAACAUCCUCGGUCCUCCUAGUCGGAUACGGGUUUAUCUUCUCGCUGGCGCUGGGUGCCACUUUCGCUUGGCUUCUUCAUACUACUGGGGGCGUCUUCCCGAGACUCGCCAGGGGCUUCCGCGCGCUCUGCCGUCUACCGGAGCUGGCCUGGGACUUCUGCGUCUAUGACCUUGAUAAGUAUGUUGUGGAUGAGCCUAUUGUCAUUGGGCAGAGGUUGGAAGACGUCGGCGACGAUGUGGAUGCAGUUUCCCAUGUGGAAGUUACCGUGGGUCAUAUCGGUCGGAUAGGCUGA
rnacentral:rRNA from 1 species